rnacentral:rRNA from 1 species
AGCGAACGCUGGCGGCAGGCUUAACACAUGCAAGUCGAACGGGCACUUCGGUGCUAGUGGCAGACGGGUGAGUAACACGUGGGAACGUACCUUUCGGUUCGGAAUAAUCCAGGGAAACUUGGACUAAUACCGGAUACGCCCUUCGGGGGAAAGAUUUAUCGCCGAUAGAUCGGCCCGCGUCUGAUUAGCUAGUUGGUGAGGUAAUGGCUCACCAAGGUGACGGUCAGUAGCUGGUCUGAGAGGAUGAUCAGCCACAUUGGGACUGAGACACGGCCCAAACUCCGACGGGAGGCAGCAGUGGGGAAUAUUGGACAAUGGGCGAGAGCCUGGACCAGCCAAGUAGCGUGCAGGAUGACGGCCCUAUGGGUUGUAAACUGCUUUUAUAAGGGACGAUAAUGACGGUACCCGGAGAAGAAGCCCCGGCUAACUUCGUGCCAGCAGCCGCAGUAAUAC